rnacentral:tRNA from 1 species
GGGCCCUUAGCUCAGCGGUGAGAGCCACCGGCUCAUAACCGGUCGGUCCCAGGUUCGAAUCCUGGAGGGCCCACCG